rnacentral:rRNA from 1 species
GGCCGAAUAUCCAAGGUUUCCAGAGUAAAGCUGAUCUGCUCUGGGUAAGUCGGGGCCUAAGGCGAGGCUGAAAAGCGUAGCCGAUGGACAACAGGUUGAGAUUCCUGUACCGCGUAUCAUCAGAACUGUGGGGACACAGAAGGACAGCACAUCCCGGGAAUGGAAAGACCGGGGCAAGCAGGGUAGGAGUUAAGCUGGCAAAUCCGCUUAACAAUCCGAAGCUGUGAUGCGGAGCGAAUUUAAGUAGCGAAGUGUGCGAUUCCGGCUGUCAAGAAAAGCCGCUAUUGUGUGAUACGUGCCCGUACCGUAAACCGACACAGGUAGAUGAGGAGAGAAUCCUAAGGCCGGCGGGAGAAGCAUUGUUAAGGAACUCGGCAAAAUGACCCCGUAACUUCGGGAGAAGGGGUGCCUGCGAGAGCAGGCCGCAGAGAAUAGGCUCAAGCAACUGUUUAGCAAAAACACAGGUCUAUGCAAAACCGUAAGGUGAGGUAUAUGGGCUGACGCCUGCCCGGUGCUGGAAGGUUAAGAGGAGAGGUUAGAGCAAUCGAAGCUUUGAAUUGAAGCCCCAGUAAACGGCGGCCGUAACUAUAACGGUCCUAAGGUAGCGAAAUUCCUUGUCGGGUAAGUUCCGACCCGCACGAAAGGCGUAAUGAUUUGAGCGCUGUCUCGACAAUGCAUCCGGUGAAAUUGAAGUACCAGUGAAGAUGCUGGUUACCUGCGCCAGGACGGAAAGACCCCAUGGAGCUUUACUCCAGCUUGAUACUGGGAUUCGGUACUGCAUGUACAGGAUAGGUGGGAGACUGAGAACUAUGAACGCCAGUUUGUAGGGAGUCGCUGUUGGGAUACCACCCUUGCGGUAUUGGAUUUCUAACCUGCAGCCGUGAACCGGCUGGGGGACAAUGUCAGGCGGGGAGUUUGACUGGGGCGGUCGCCUCCGAAAGGGUAUCGGAGGCGCUCAAAGGUUCCCUCAGAAUGGUUGGAAACCAUUCGAAGAGUGCAAAGGCAGAAGGGAGCUUGACUGCGACACCGACGGGUGGAGCAGGUACGAAAGUAGGACUUAGUGAUCCGGUGGUAAUAAGUGGGAAUGCCAUCGCUCAACGGAUAAAAGCUACCCUGGGGAUAACAGGCUUAUCACUCCCAAGAGUUCACAUCGACGGAGUGGUUUGGCACCUCGAUGUCGGCUCAUCGCAUCCUGGGGCUGAAGUAGGUCCCAAGGGUUGGGCUGUUCGCCCAUUAAAGCGGUACGCGAGCUGGGUUCAGAACGUCGUGAGACAGUUCGGUCCCUAUCCGGCGCGGGCGUAAGAUAUUUGAGAGGAGCUGUCCUUAGUACGAGAGGACCGGGAUGGACGGGCCGCUGGUGUACCUGUUGGAGUGCCAACUCCAUGGCAGGGUAGCCAAGCCCGGACGGGAUAAACGCUGAAGGCAUCUAAGCGUGAAGCCCCCCUCAAGAUGAGAUAUCUCAUACGCAAGUAGUAAGACCCCUUGAAGACGACAAGGUAGAUAGGUCAGAGGUGGAAGUGUGGUGACACAUGGAGCUGACUGAUACUAAUCGGUCGAGGGCUUGACCAA